rnacentral:lncRNA from 1 species
GGUGGGCAUACAUAAGCUUUUAACAAGAACUGUUCGAGAUCGACUAAUCGCUACUGGUUAUCGUGCGAUCAGACCAUUUCGGAGACCAUUGCUUACGAACAGACACACAGUUGUCCGUAUCCAAUGUAGUGUGGAGCUCGCCAAAAUUGGAAAUUAGCAUCGUGGAGGAAGAUCCAUUGUUCCAAUGGAAUUCGGUUCAUCUUUCUUGGCCCGAUCGUAGCCCGGAUUUGAACCAUAUCGAGCAUUUAUGGGGCACUAUUGGGCGUAAAGUGCGCGGAAGGACACCCCAGUUCAAACACUUCAUGAAAUAACCAAUGCCCUUCAUCGGAAAUGGUUACUGCUACCUUAGCAACAAAUUAUUCGAUUUA